AGACCCGAAACCCGGUGAUCUAGCCAUGGGCAGGUUGAAGGUUGGGUAACACUAACUGGAGGACCGAACCGACUAAUGUUGAAAAAUUAGCGGAUGACCUGUGGCUGGGGGUGAAAGGCCAAUCAAACCGGGAGAUAGCUGGUUCUCCCCGAAAGCUAUUUAGGUAGCGCCUCGUGAAUUCAUCUCCGGGGGUAGAGCACUGUUUCGGCUAGGGGGCCAUCCCGGCUUACCAACCCGAUGCAAACUGCGAAUACCGGAGAAUGUUAUCACGGGAGACACACGGCGGGUGCUAACGUCCGUCGUGAAGAGGGAAACAACCCAGACCGCCAGCUAAGGUCCCAAAGUCAUGGUUAAGUGGGAAACGAUGUGGGAAGGCCCAGACAGCCAGGAUGUUGGCUUAGAAGCAGCCAUCAUUUAAAGAAAGCGUAAUAGCUCACUGGUCGAGUCGGCCUGCGCGGAAGAUGUAACGGGGCUAAACCAUGCACCGAAGCUGCGGCAGCGACACUGUGUGUUGUUGGGUAGGGGAGCGUUCUG
rnacentral:rRNA from 2 species